GAACUUUAGGCGCAUUUAACGCGAAAAUCGACCGUAUGGGGAAUUCGGCCGCAAGGUAAAACUCAAAUGAAUGACGGGGGCCCGCACAAGCGGUGGAGCAUGUGGUUUAAUUCGAUGCAACGCGAAGAACCUUACCUACCCUUGACAUCGAGAGAACUUGGCAGAGAUGCCUUGGUGCCUUCGGGAACUCUCAGACAGGUGCUGCAUGGCCGUCGUCAGCUCGUGUUGUGAAAUGUUGGGUUAAGUCCCGUAACGAGCGCAACCCUUGUCCCUAUUUGCCAGCGAUUCGGUCGGGAACUCUAGGGAGACUGCCGGUGACAAACCGGAGGAAGGUGGGGACGACGUCAGGUCAUCAUGGCCCUUACGGGUAGGGCUACACACGUGCUACAAUGGCCGGUACAAAGGGUUGCGAAGCCGCGAGGUGGAGCCAAUCCCGAAAAGCCGGUCUCAGUCCGGAUCGGAGUCUGCAACUCGACUCCGUGAAGUCGGAAUCGCUAGUAAUCGUGAAUCAGAAUGUCACGGUGAAUACGUUCCCGGGCCUUGUACACACCGCCCGUCACACCAUGGGAGUGGACUGCACCAGAAGUGGUUAGCCUAACUUCGGAGGGCGACACCACGGUGUGUCAUAUUUGUU
rnacentral:rRNA from 1 species